UUAUUUACUUUUGUGAGUGCUGUGAUUUGUAGGCGGAUCUUCUCGCAUCCCAUCUGCCAUGCUGUGAUUUUGCUUGCUUGAUUGCUGUAUUUGGAGAAAAGACAGAGAAGACUAUAUGGAUUCUAAAACCAUCGAACCACAUCAUGUGCCAGUUGCAUCAUCCAAUGUCAUUUCGCAAAGUGAUAAAAUAAUGCCAUCAAAAUCGCUUUCCUCCUCCGGUUCCAGAUCUGGCACACUAACUACAUCCCGACUUCCUGUGCUUGUAAUCAGCGAAACCAGCCCUUUAGUACAAAAUGCAUGUGUACCCCGUCCGUUAGACAAUUUUUUUAAGGCACCCCAUAAGCCCCUUCCGGUCCUUCCCACAGUCUACCGACCAAUUGUGGAACCUUUGAAUUUGCCUCAAUCUUCUGGAUCGAUUUCUAAUACCAGUGAUUUGUCGAAAUCCCGUCUUCCCGUACUUCCAUCUGUACAAAUAGAAACACCUAAAACGAAUAUGCCUUCAUCUACUACUCCCUUUUCCGUGGAAGCUUUGACGGAGAUUAUGAUAGAAAUGUCCAUCAUAUGAUCAUAUGAUAGAAAUGUACUUCACUUAUUGAGAGUUGUAGGAGGUAACGAUUAUCUUGAGGCUACGGAUACAUUAGUAAAAAAGUUUCUUAUGAAGAAACUAGGGAAUGCGUUGACUGCAAGCGAAGCAAAAAAACGAAAAACCGAAGAA